rnacentral:lncRNA from 1 species
ACUGAGAGGUGUAUCUCUCAAGGAACAUGUAGGAAAAGUUAAAUCUGCUCCAAGGUUACUUGGUUUUGCACAAAUCUAGAGUAAUUACUUGUUUCUUUUGCUUAAAAAUGAUCAAUCAAUAAAUGGAGUAGGAAGCAUCUGGUGGGGACAUGCAUACACUACUUCACAAGUAAAUGAAUAUGUAAUGCUGAUCAGCUGAAUAUUAUACUUUGAUUUGUUGCCUAAAGAGUCUUAGAAAUAUUGGCAUUUUUUUAAUGAGGUAAAUGUACGUAUGAGAGAGAGCUGAAUAAGCACCUUAAAUUCUAUAUGUGACAGAUGAGUUGGUCCUGGAAGAAACUGAAAGACUUUGAAGAAUAACGUGUUGUAUGAUUAGAAUUAAGACAGUACAGGCAUUUCUUCAUUUACAAAAAAAAAAAAUUUAGGGUCAGGGUUUCAUGUGCAGGUUAUAUAGGUAAACUGCAUGCCACAGGAGUAUGGUUUACAGACUGAUUAUUUCAUCACCCAGAUGAUGAGCAUAGUACCUGAUAGGUAGUUUUUCCUUCCUCUCCCUCCUCCCACUGUCUACCCUCAAGUAGGCCCUGGUGUCUGUUGUCCCUUCUUUGUAUCCAUAUGUACUCAAUAUUUGGUUCCCACUUAUAAGUGAGAAUAUGUGGUAUUUAGUUUUCUGUUCCUGUGUUAGUUCACUUAAGAUAAUGGCCUCCACCUCCAUCCAUGUUGCUGCAAAAGACAUGAUCUCAUUCAUUUUUAUGGCUGCAUAGUAUUCUAUGGUGUAUAUGUACCACAUUUUCUUUAUUCAGUCUACUCUUGAUGGGCAUUAAGGUUGAUUCUAUUACUUUGCUUUCAUGAGUGGUGCUGUAAUGAACAUGCACAUGCAUCUGUCUGUGUGGUAGCAUAAUUUAUAUUUUUGGAGGUAUAUACCCAAUAAUGGGAUUGAUAGGUCGAAUGGUAGUUUAAGUUCUUUGAGAAAUCUCAAAACUGCUUUCUACAGUGGUUGAAUUAAUUUACAUUCUAAUCAACAGUGGAUAAGCAUUUCUUUUUCUCUGCAGCCUUGCCAGCAUCUUUUGUCCCCUGACUUUUUAAUAAUGGCCAUUCUGACUGGUGUGAAAUAUCUCAUUGUGGUUUUGAUUUGCAUUUCUCUAAUGAUUAGUGUUAUUGAGCAUUUUUUCAUAUCUUGUUGUUUGCGUGUAUGUCUUCUUUUAAGAAGUGACUGUUUAUGCACUCUGCCCACUUUUCUAAUGGUGUUGUUUGUUUAACUGUUUAAGUUCCUUAUAGACUCUUGAUAGCCCUUUGUCAGAUGCCUAGUUUGCAAAUAUUUUCUCCCAUUCUGCAGGUUGUCAGCUUAUUCUGUUGAUACUUUCUUAUGCUCUGCAGGUGCUCUUUAGUUUUAUUAGGUCCUAUUUGUUGAUUUUUAUUUUUGUUGCAAUUGCUUUUGGCAUCUUCAUCAUGAAAUCUUUGCCAGAGCCUAUGUUCAGAGUGGUAUUUCCUAGUUUUCUUCUGGGGUUUGUAUAGUUUUAGGUUUUACAUCUAAGCCUUUAAUCCAUCUUGAGUUGAUUUUUGUGGAUGGUGAAAGGAAAGGAUACAAUUUCAAUCUCUUACACAAGGCUAGCCAGUUAUCCCAGCACCAUUUAUUGAACAUAGAGUCCUUUCCUCAUUGCUUGUUUUUGCUGACUUUGUUGAUGAUCAGAUGGUUUUAGGUGUGUGACCUUAUUUCUGCACUUUCUAUUCGGUUCCAUUGUCUAUUGUGUUUGUAUUUGUGCCAUUGUCUAUUGUGUUUGUAUUUGUGCCAUGCUGUUUUGGUUACUGUAGCCUUGGAGUAUAGUUUGAAGUUGGGUAAUGUGAUGCCUCCAGCUUUGUUCUUUUUGCUUAGGAUUACUUUGGCUAUUUGGGCUCUUUUUUGGUCUCACAUGCAUUUUAGAAUAGUCUUUUCUAAUUCAGUGAAAAAUGUCAUUGGUGGGUUUGUUAGGAAUAGCAUUGAAUCUGUAAGUUGCUUUGGGCAGUAUGUCCAUUUUAGCAGUAUUGAUUCUUUCUGUUCAUAAGCAUGAAAUAUUUUUCCAUUUGUUUGUAUCAUCUUUGAUUUAUUUCAGCACAGUUUUGUAGUUCUCCUUGUAGAGAUCUUUCGCCUCCCUGGUUAGCUGUUUUCCUAGCUUUGUGUGUGUGUGUGAAUGGGACUAUUGUGAAUGGGAUUUCAUUCUUGAUUUGGAUCUCAUUUGAAUGUUACUGGUGUAUAGAAAUACUACUGUAUUUUGUACAUUGGUUUCGUAUCCUGAAACUUUGCCCAAGUUGUGUAACAGAUCUAGGAGCUUUUGCGAAGAGACUAUAGAGUUUUCUAGGUAUAAAACCAUAAUAAUCUGCAG